rnacentral:rRNA from 1 species
GAUGAACGCUGGCGGCGUGCCUAAUACAUGCAAGUCGAGCGAACAGAUGAGGAGCUUGCUCCUCUGACGUUAGCGGCGGACGGGUGAGUAACACGUGGAUAACCUACCUAUAAGACUGGGAUAACUUCGGGAAACCGGAGCUAAUACCGGAUAAUAUAUUGAACCGCAUGGUUCAAUAGUGAAAGACGGUUUUGCUGUCACUUAUAGAUGGAUCCGCGCCGCAUUAGCUAGUUGGUAAGGUAACGGCUUACCAAGGCAACGAUGCGUAGCCGAACUGAGAGGGUGAUCGGCCACACUGGAACUGAGACACGGUCCAGACUCCUACGGGAGGCAGCAGUAGGGAAUCUUACGCAAUGGGCGAAAGCCUGACGGAGCAACGCCGCGUGAGUGAUGAAGGUCUUCGGAUCGUAAAACUCUGUUAUUAGGGAAGAACAAAUGUGUAAGUAACUAUGCACGUCUUGACGGUACCUAAUCAGAAAGCCACGGCUAACUACGUG